GCGGGCUUAGCUCAGUUGGUAGAGCACCAGAUUGUGAUUCUGUUGGUCAUGGGUUGUUCUCUACAAAUCAUG